rnacentral:rRNA from 1 species
UCCGCGGAUCCCAUGCAGGUAAGUUCGGUGAUGCGUAAUGGCAUCAACAAAGCUACGACGCGCUAUGCCGACCUUGAGAGCGAUGACCUGGCUACUAUCGGGCACUGAAGACAUCGGGCCCUACUCCUUUCGGGGAGGCAGCAGUGGGGAAAUUUUGGUCAAUGGGCGAAAGCCUGAUCCAGCGACGCCGCGUGAGGGACGAAGCCCUUUCGGGGUGUAAACCUCUGUUGUGAGGGACGAAUAAGAUCUGGAGGAAAUGCCAGAUCGAUGACGGUACCUCACGAGAAAGCCCCGGCUAACUACGUGCCAGCAGCCGCGGUAAUACGUAGGGGGCGAGCGUUACCCGGAUUCACUGGGCGUAAAGGGGGCGCAGGCGAUCCAGUAUGUCGGGUGUGAAAUCCCACAGCUCAACUGUGGAAUUGCGCCCGAAACUACUGGGUUUGGGGCUGGUAGAGGGAGACGGAACUGCUGGUGUAGGGGUGAAAUCCGUAGAUAUCAGCAGGAACGCCGGUGGGGAAGCCGGUCUCCUGGGCCAAGCCCGACGCUGAGGCUCGAAAGCUAGGGGAGCAAACCGGAUUAGAUACCCGGGUAGUCCUAGCCGUAAACGAUGCCCACUAGGUGUGGGGGAGUCAUUCCUCCGUGCUGUAGCUAACGCGUUAAGUGGGCCGCCUGGGGAGUACGCCCGCAAGGGUGAAACUCAAAGGAAUUGGCGGGACCCCGCACAAGCGGUGGAGCGUGUGGUUUAAUUGGAUGCUAAGCCAAGAACCUUACCAGGGCUUGACAUGCAGGUGGUACCAACCCGAAAGGGAAGGGACCCUUUCCUUUUGGAAAGGGAGCCUGCACAGGUGGUGCACGGCCGUCGUCAGCUCGUGCCGUGAGGUGUUGGGUUAAGUCCCGCAACGAGCGCAACCCCUGCCCUUAGUUGCCAGCGGUUCGGCCGGGCACUCUAAGGGGACCGCCGGCGACGAGCCGGAGGAAGGAGGGGACGACGUCAGGUACUCGUGCCCUUUAUGCCCUGGGCUACACACGCGCUACAAUGGGUGGUACAGUGGGUCGCGACCUCGCGAGAGGGAGCCAAU